GUAACCGUCAUCUUCAUUUCUUAUGUCUUAUCUAUAAAAAGGUGAGAACAAUUGCGACUGUUUAUCAGUUUAACAAGCUAUUUUGUAACGUGAAAAGCUUUUCCGCCUUUAUCUGAGGAAAUUACCUGAAGUCGAAGAGCCAGGAAAUGGAUCAAUACAAGAAUAAUCAUCUGUAUGAUGACGAUGACGACGACUCUUCAGAUGAGGAGUGUUGGUAUGAGUUGGGCGAAUAUUAUCUGAACCACUAAAUUUGAACAAUAAAUAUGGUUUCAUAUCCCUAUUGAAA